rnacentral:rRNA from 1 species
GACGAACGCUGGCGGCGUGCCUAAUACAUGCAAGUCGAACGCAGUGGGGACGGGUGAGUAACACGUGGGUAACCUCCCAUCAGAGGGGAUAACACUUGGAAACAGGUGCUAAAACGAUACUGAUGGAUGUACCCGCUGUGAAUUAGCUAGUUUGGGAGGUAACGGGUCACCAAGGCCACGAUGCAUAGCCGACCUGAGAGGAUGAUCGGCCACAAUGAUAUUGAGACACGGUCCAGACUUCUACGGGAGGAAGCAGUAGGGAAUCUUCGGCAACGGACGAAAGUCUGACCGAGCAACGCCGCGUGAUUUAAGAAGGUUUUCGGAUCGUAAAACUCUGUUGUUAGAUAAGCGGUAUCUAACCAGAAAGCCACGGCUAACUACGUGCCAGCAGCCGCGGUAAUAC